CUUGAGCUCUUUCACUGGCGGGGUGGUAGUAAGCUAACUCCCCUGCUCUUCAACAUGCCGUUGUCACAUGUCUUUUUAAAUUUACGUCUACAUAUGGACUUAACUGCAGAUGAGCCGCCGUGAACAGGUGCAGCUUCGGCGGAUGAGGCUCAUCUUCAUGCCAAGAGAAGCAGCCUUUCAGCGAAACGAAAGGUUCACGUGUCCCACUUCACACUGUCUGCUAACGUGAGGAGGCCUGGUGAAAAGGUUUUGAUCUUCAAAGCAAGACUAUGACGACACAUGGGAGCUGAUGAGAGCUGAACAGGUCUUGACAAUCUACAAAGAAAAGACUAAGGCAACACACGCGUGCUGGGAAAUGUUGAACAGGUGAAAUCGAUGGAAGUGGAUGCAACACCAGCUUGGGAUAGAUCCAGAAGUGAAUAUUAAAUGCAGUAGAUUUGUCAGUAUAAAAAUGAAGCCAUGUUUAAUCUAAAACAUGUUUAAUAAAAUUAUGAACGGUAUAAAAAUUCAAGCACAAUGGCACAUUUUAAAUAUAUUCUGCACAUGAAAAGUAACCUAAAUCUUACUGGGAGCACCCAGUAUGUGUUGGUCAAUCUGUUUUGAAGGUGGAUCUGUAAGAUUUCUUCUUCAAAUUCUCCAAGAAGAUCUGCUCCUCUGCGAGGAAUUCCUGGUCCUGUGGGGAGGAAGAGAAAGUAAUUAGGAACAGAAGCGCAAACUUUGAAACAUUCAAAGACAACUGUUUCUAGAUUUUUUUUUUUUUUUUUUUUUUUUGCCAUCGACUGGUGGAAGCUGUCACUGUAGCUUAGUAAAUGUGUUUAUUGUGGAUGAGUCACAUGUUGUAAUGAGCUUGUUUCAAUUCCAUUUUGACAUUAAAAACCUACAGUAACAACCAA